rnacentral:rRNA from 1 species
GACGAACGCUGGCGGCGUGCCUAAUACAUGCCAGUCGAGCGAACGGACGAGAAGCUUGCUUCUCUGAUGUUAGCGGCGGACGGGUGAGUAACACGUGGAUAACCUACCUAUAAGACUGGUAUAACUUCGGGAAACCGGAGCUAAUACCGGAUGAUAUUUUGAACCGCAUGGUUCAAAAGUGAAAGACGGUCUUGCUGUCACUUAUAGCUGGAUCCGCGCUGCAUUAGCUAGUUGGUAAGGUAACGGCUUACCAAGGCAACUAUGCAUAGGCGAACUGAGAGGGGGAUCGGCCACACUGGAAGUGGGACGCGGUCCAGGCUCCUACGGGAGGCAGCAGUAGGGAAUCUUCCGCAGUGGGCGAAAGCCUGACGGAGCGACGCCGCGUGAGUGGUGAAGGUCUUCGGAUCGUAAAACUCUGUUAUUAGGGAAGAACAUAUGUGUAAGUAACUGUGCACAUCUUGACGGUACCUAAUCAGAAAGCCACGGCUAACUACGUG